ACAGAGAGAAGCCAGGUGGCGACACCGAGCGGAACUCGAAAGCCUGUCUCAGUUCGGAUCGGAGUCUGNAACCCGACUCCGUGAAGCUGGAUUCGCUAGUAAUCGCGCACCAGCCAUGGCGCGGUGAAUACGUUCCCGGGCCUUGUACACACCGCCCGUCAAGCCAUGGAAGCCGGGAGUGCCUGAAGUAUGCAACCGCAAGGAGCGUCCUAAGGUAAAACCGGUGACUGGGGCUAAGUCGUAACAAGGUAAC
rnacentral:rRNA from 1 species